AUCCAUCCUUUCACCCAGAUUCUUUGUCUUUAUUAUCACCAUCUUUAUAAUAACAAACAGCUGUUUCCUGUGCAGGAUCGCUCAUUUCCCGUUUCACAUUUCACGUGUGUUUUCUUGAUAAAAGUGGUUUGGAAACCUGCGUCGGGUGCCGUAGCUGCUGUCCUGUAGUGUGUGUGACCCCGUCACCGAUCAGUUACGUAGCGUGAACGCCACAACAACUUCAAGACUGCGUCAUGUUACGGCAAGGUGUGUGAACGGCACGGCCGUCGACCGACGUUGAAAGUCGUGUAGUCUGAACGAGUCUGUAGUAUAACUUGUAGAGCACUCGGUUGAUGUUUCUGUUUGUAAAGCAGCUGUCUGGUUGUUGGUCUGAUAUUUGCUGUAUGACACACUAUGAAUUUCCAAAAUGGCUAAUGAAUAUCUAUCACCUAUAAACAUGCACAGCUGAUCCCGUUAUCGGGGGGCGCCGCCGCCAAGCAAAAGUACUUCUUAAACAACGUCUGAGUCAUUGAAAUAAUCUAUCGAAGCUUCGAAUACUAAAAUCAUCGUUAGCUGCAGCCCUAAUACUGACAAUACUGCCUGUUUAUGGUAUUAAUACUUUAAGCUCCCCCUCCCUGCAGGCAAAGUGGGCGUGGCUUACGCUGCAGCUCCUGGAGAGACAUGGCUACAAGCACAAGUGCUCUUCCACGGCUUGUCAACAAAGCAGACGCACAGAGAAAAUGAUGGGAUUAUUUUGCUUGCACAGCGACAGUGAAAGCGAGCCUGUAGACACCACAAAGCCCAUCUGUAAAAGAAGCUUCAGACUCACGCAGACUGAGAGGCAACACGUCCAUCCCACCGACAGACAUGCAGACUUCAGGCCUGCAGGUCCAAGAAUUCAAAGAGCGGCUGGUUAGCUAAUGUGAUAACAGUUACAUACCUUCAGUAAGUCCAACAGGUGUGAUUUAAAGUGUGUUCGCAAACGUUUUUAGCAAUGAAGGUGUUUGACGAGGGAAGUAAGAACGCUGUUAGCGGUUUAAUUUGUUUUUAGCCUUUUAGCUAACUUACCAAUGUGGCAAACAUCAUGCCGGCCGCACAGCAUGCAGGCAAAAGUGACCGGUGACGUAUGGAAAAGUGAAUGGCAUUGUGUAACAGCCCCCCCCCUCCCCGGCAUCGCCGCCUCACAAACGCACGCAUGAUUCUACGAUCAGUCGACUGUAGGCAAGACACAAUUGUGAUUCGACUAUGUAAAUCCUUAGUGACAGUCGUAAGUGAAACAUUUAUACUCAUCAGUCCCGGUAAUGGUGAUCAUGGCAUUUACAGUUGUGUCAACUUUGUCUAUUAAUAGAUGCGCUCAGUAGAUCGCAGACCGCCGCCGAGUAGGCAUACUGAGUCAUGAGGCUGUUUCAUAAGUUGGUUGCAAAUGUAAAGGUAAGUAUCAAAUCUAUAAAUCAAGAAUAGGGGACAUCAGAUUGGACUGAACACACGACUCAGUACACCUCGUCUGAGAGCGUUUUCUAUUUAAAUUCCAUCUAACAAUCUACAGCAGAUAGGAUUUAGUAUUUUAUUUAAUAAAAACAGAAUUUUAAGUUCUGUCAUUUAUCAUUCCAUUACUUUUCCUGAUGAUUUAGAUUUUUGUCGUAUCGUUUUAGUAUCGAGAAAUUUAUGCAGGUAUCGUAUCAAAGUUGUCAUUUGGUAUCGUGACAGGUCAAAAUUUCCUCUCUGAAACCUUUAAAAAGGAACUGAAAGUCUUCAGCUGUAGUGGAUGUUUGUGAAAGUUCACUUCUUAAAAUCCCCUUAAAAACCUUUUUACUAAUUGGGAUUUGUUCCAGUGUUGGACUUCAGACACAUUGUCCCUGUAAAACAGGGUAGAGCUGGAGGACCUGAGACCCGAGGCUGGAUUCUGUCACCACGUGAUCCUGAAAAACUGUGAACUCACCGUGGAAACUGACCCUCCUUUGACAGUCAAGGGAUUAACGGGGAGCUGCAGCCUCAAGAGUUCGUCUCACACUUUCUGACUCACCUAACUCACAAUGAAAAUGAGCAUUCAACCACCAAAGACUGAACAAAGGUGAAACUACCUGAGGACAAGCAGAGAUCCACCAUCCAAGCCAUCAACACGAGGGACCGCUCGAGGACGUCCACUCUACAGUGGUUGGUGGUGUAGAGGAAGCCUCUCAGGCCACCAGCAGCUCACAGAAACUAAAGUUUGCUCUGCAUGUAGACGAGCGGGUAAGAAUGUUAUUAUUACCUGUGUGAUUUUAUUCCUGCUACUGCAGAGCUGUGUAUGUCCACCGCCACGUUGUCCUGAACAGACGCUGUACGACUCUGGACUAAACGAAGUGUUCAAUGCCUUCAGUGUUGAGGUGAGAUUUGUGACUGCCCUCAGGUACAGGUCAGCGUAAGGUCACCAUUUGCAUUAAUAAAUGGACCUGAGAGGCCCCACUAGUGUUUAAUGGGGGCCACUGCAGUUUUACACAAUGCAGCAUCACUGAAACAUUUUUCAACACAUGCAUCUAUAAACAUGAUCUGAACAAGAGGAGUCAGUGUGUGUGUGAUAAGGAGGGGUAUGAUGAGUGUGAUUUUAUAAGGUGGCCCCUGAGAAGCAGGGCCUCAGACUUGCAUCAAAGCUCUGCUCUGUGAAAUCCAAAGACACAUGAUGACGUCACACACCGAGCUAAAGACCCGUGAACUUUAAGUGAUGAACGUCUUCAGGUCUUUUAUUAUGAGUGAAAAUGUUGAGACUUUAAUACCACACUGUUACACGGACACGCACACUUCCUUCAUACCAUGGUUAACUUCUCAUCUUUUUUUAGGUAACUGGAACGGACCUCAUCGGGAAAAUGGCAACAACCAGCAGCAGUUCUGUAGACUUUCAGAUUUAGAUUUUCACUGAGAUCCAAAAUGCUUUUUAAUGAGUACCAUGUUUUAACGUUUAAACAGGGACCUCUGUAGCCUCAAUAAGGCCACAUCUGUUUAUAGAUAUUAUUUAGAUAAGGACUGAGUAACCACACAGAUGAAUUUAGAUGAUUUGUGUGUUAUUCGUCCUCAUGAAAAGAAUAGUCAAAUGAAAGUAUUUGAAAAUAGUACAGAAAGUUAUGAAAUGUUUGAAGAUUAUAAAAAUCUAUAUAUCGUAGAGGACGUUUGUGUAGAGAGGACAUGAUGUCUCCAGACGGACAUGUAGCGGUCUUCCAUAUGGACUACAAUCAGACAGUACGGUCUUUGCUUGGAAAGGAUUAAUAAAUCCACAUUACCGCUG